AUACGUAGGGAGCGAGCGUUGUCCGGAAUUACUGGGUGUAAAGGGAGCGUAGGCGGGACUGCAAGUCAGAUGUGAAAUACCGGGGCUUAACCCCGGAGCUGCAUUUGAAACUGUGGUUCUUGAGUGAGGUAGAGGCAAGCGGAAUUCCUGGUGUAGCGGUGAAAUGCGUAGAGAUCGGGAGGAACACCAGUGGCGAAGGCGGGUAACUGGACUGCAACUGACGCUGAGGCGCGAAAGUGUGGGGAGCAAACAGGAUUAGAUACCCUGGUAGUCCACGCUGUAAACGAUGAAUGCUAGGUGUAGGAGGUAUCGACCCCUUCUGUGCCGCAGUAAACACAGUAAGCAUUCCGCCUGGGGAGUACGGUCGCAAGAUUGAAACUCAAAGGAAUUGACGGGG
rnacentral:rRNA from 1 species